CAAUAGCGUAUAUUAAAGUUGUUGCGGUUAAAAAGCUCGUAGUUGGAGUUCUGCCAGGUGCCGCCUGUCCGCCCCAGUGGUGAGUACGUGGCGCGCAUUUGGCCCUUUCAAGGGGAGCGUAUCUGCACUUUAUUGUGUGGUGCGGGAUCCUUGACUUUUACUUUGAGGAAAUAGGAGUGUUCCAAGCAGGCUCUCGUCGUGCACAGCUCAGCAUGGAAUAAUAGCAUUGGACCUCGAUUCUAAGCUGUUGGUUGCCAGAAGCGAGGUAAUGAUGAAGAGGGAUAGUUGGGGGCAUUCGUAGUUAACUGUCAGAGGUGAAAUUCUUGGAUUUGUUAAGGACGGACUACUGCGAAAGCAUCUGCCAUGGAUGUUUUCAUUGA
rnacentral:rRNA from 1 species